rnacentral:rRNA from 1 species
GACGUAGGGCGCGAGCGUUGUCCGGAUUUAUUGGGCGUAAAGAGCUCGUAGGCGGCUUGUCGCGUCGACUGUGAAAACCCGCGGCUCAACUGCGGGCUUGCAGUCGAUACGGGCAGGCUAGAGUUCGGUAGGGGAGACUGGAAUUCCUGGUGUAGCGGUGAAAUGCGCAGAUAUCAGGAGGAACACCGGUGGCGAAGGCGGUUCUCUGGGCCUUACCUGACGCUGAGGAGCGAAAGCGUGGGGAGCAAACAGG